CGGGUGCAUAUCUGCUCGGGGGAGGAUGAGGUAGGGGUAGGGAUCAGACGGGUGCAUACCUGCACAGGUGAGGGCAGGUUGGGAUAGGGAUCAGACGGGUGCAUACUUGCACGGGGGAGGAUGAGGUGGAGGAAGGUGUGAGAUGGGCGCACACCUGCACAGGUGAGGGCAGGUUGGGAUAGGGAUCUGACAGGUGCAUACCUGCAUGGGGGAGGAUGAGGUGGGGGAAGGUGUCAGAUGGGCGCAUACCUGCACAGGUGAGGGCAGGUUGGGAUAGGGAUCAGACGCGUGCAUAUCUGCACGGGGGAGGAUGAGGUGGGGGUAGGGAUCAGAGGGGCGCAUACCUGCACAGGUGAGGGCAGGUUGGGAUAGGGAUCAGACGGGUGCAUACCUGCAUGGGGGAGGAUGAGGUGGGGGAAGGUGUCAGAUGGGCGCAUACCUGCACAGGGGAGGAUGAGGUGGGGGUAGGGAUCAGAGGGGCGCAUACCUGCACAGGUGAGGGCAGGUUGGGAUAGGGAUCUGACAGGUGCAUACCUGCAUGGGGGAGGAUGAGGUGGGGGAAGGUGUCAGAUGGGCGCAUACCUGCACAGGUGAGGGCAGGUUGGGAUACGGAUCAGACGGGUGCAUAUCUGCAUGGGGGAGGAUGAGGUGGGGGUAGGGAUCAGAGGGGC